GCUUACGGCCUUACCACCCUGAGAACGCCCGAUCUCGUCUGAUCUCGGAAGCUAAGCAGGGUCGGGCCUGGUUAGUACUUGGAUGGGAGACUACCUGGGAAUACCAGGUGCUGUAAGCU
rnacentral:rRNA from 1 species